AACGAACGCUGGCGGCAUGCCUAACACAUGCAAGUCGAACGAGACCUUCGGGUCUAGUGGCGCACGGGUGCGUAACGCGUGGGAACCUGCCCUUAGGUUCGGAAUAACUCCCCGAAAGGGGUGCUAAUACCGGAUAAUGUCUUCGGACCAAAGAUUUAUCGCCUUUGGAUGGGCCCGCGUUGGAUUAGCUAGUUGGUAGGGUAAAAGCCUACCAAGGCGACGAUCCAUAGCUGGUCUGAGAGGAUGAUCAGCCACACUGGGACUGAGACACGGCCCAGACGCCUACGGGAGGCAGCAGUUGGGAAUAUUGGACAAUGGGCGAAAGCCUGAUCCAGCAAUGCCGCGUGAGUGAUGAAGGCCUUAGGGUUGUAAAGCUCUUUUACCCGGGAUGAUAAUGACAGUACCGGGAGAAUAAGCUCCGGCUAACUCCGUG
rnacentral:rRNA from 1 species